UACGUAGGGGGCAAGCGUUGUCCGGAAUCAUUGGGCGUAAAGAGCGUGUAGGCGGUCCGGUCAGUCGGUUGUGAAAGUCAAGGGCUCAACCCUUGAAUGCCGGCCGAUACUGCCGGGCUAGAGUCCGGAAGAGGUGAGUGGAAUUCCUGGUGUAGCGGUGAAAUGCGCAGAUAUCAGGAGGAACACCAAUGGCGAAGGCAGCACUCUGGGACGGUACUGACGCUGAGACGCGAAAGCGUGGGGAGCAAACAGG
rnacentral:rRNA from 1 species